UACGUAGGGUCCGAGCGUUUGUACCGGAAUUACUGGGCGUAAAGAGCUCGUAGGUGGUUUGUCGCGUUGUUCGUGAAAACUCACAGCUUAACUAGUGGGCGUGCGGGCGAUACGGGCAGACUUGAGUACUGCAGGGGAGACGUGGAAUUCCUGGUGUAGCGGUGGAAUGCACAGAUAUCGGGGAGACGACGGUGCGAAGGCGGCCAUCUGGACAGUUACUGACGCUGAGGCACGAAGGCCAGGGGAGC
rnacentral:rRNA from 1 species